UCCUAAUUAACCAAUAAUGAAAUUCAAAUCAACUCAGUAUGGGCUCAAAAUCCAGCUAGGCCCAUAAAAGGAGGGUUUAAGGACAGUGGAGUAAUUAUGGACAGCCAGAACCAAUGGCCCUAGCGGAGGUAACUAAAACCAAACCGCGGGGGUGUACGGACAAACAAGGUGCAGUGAGAAGCAAAUCAGCUUCAUUGGGCUCUGGUGAAGCGCCUAAGCCCACACAAGAAAAACACCAUGCCGUGAAGUUCAAAUUUCUCUUCCUCACGUCCACUCUGUGGUUCAUUUGAAGAAGCGAAGCACAAUGAACCUAACCGCGCAGACUUCCGUCGCCGGUUGCGGUUCAAAACUGACGAAACCACUUGCACCACUACUCGGCCUCCCUCUUUUCCAAUCGCAAUGGAAGACGCUCAUCCACCUAAACAAACAAAGUUGCGGUGGAUUCCCUGAUGGAAUACAAAUCCACUGGCGAACAAAAAUGGGCGGAGAUUCAACCAAGCACAACACUACCGCACUUGAAUCAAAUAUGCGAAGCAAUGGAAUUCUUACCGGCAGAUUCGAAUCUUAGGUAUUUUAUAGUUCCGGCUCUCCGAUCCUCUCUCCUUAUCUCGUCCGUCUCCGAUUUCAGUCGUGUGAGAUUUUGCUUAUGAUGUGACUUACUGCUCUAGUCGUGACAGGUCGUGAUUUGAGGCGCAGGGAUUGCUACGGUACGAUUCGUGAGUGGAGAAACUGUAUGGUUAACGGUGUCGGUGUUGUUGCGGUUCUCGCGGUAAGAAGGAGGAAGAAAGGCGUUUGAAGCGGAAGUCUAUGGAAGCUGGUUACGACGGUGAUCGAUGCGCGCGUUGAAUCGUGGUGGAGACGGUGGUGGAAUUUCAACGAAGGCAAUGGAGGUUGGAGUAUGAGCUGCAUCGGAUUUUUUUCAAGUAGAAGUUUCAUCGCGAGCUCAAGAGUUUAUAUAGAACUCUCAAUUGGUAGUUGGAUCCAUCUUUGUCGUUUCUGCAUUUCCUUUCCGUUUUGAUUGUCGUCGUUUGGCAUUUGUAUGCAUUUUACGCACGUGCUGGUGUUGGCUUGAAUCACUUGGGUCGGUUGCUGCAGUUUCUACUGCGUUCUAUUACUGCGCUUUGGCUUUAAUUUGCAGCUUGCGUUUGGAAUUGUCCUUGGAUCAUGAAGCUUGUUACAACUGCGUUUUGAGUAAGCAGCGUUUGUUUUCCAUUUGUGGCUCACGUAUUCUGCUGCCGUUUGACCUUGGAUGUGGUCGUUUUGAUUUCGUAUCCUGCAUUUCACUGCAAUUCUGUUUCCAUUUUGGUGCUUUUGGUGCAGCUUACAACUCUGUUUCGGCGUUUGGCUUUCACUUGUCCGUCGUUGGAUUCGCUGCACAUUUGUUGUUUCACGUUCAUUUUGGCUUGUAAGCAGCUUCGUGAGUAGCAACUGAUACCGUGCGUCUUGUUGUUUUGCUGCAGCUGAUGGUAGCAGCUUUUUGCAGCUGGGUUUGUACGCGUUUUGUGCUUCACACGGUUCAAGUCACGGCUGUUGUACAUUUUGGAACUGUUGGCUCUGCGUUCUCACUUGCAGCAGCUUUAUUCAUUUUCUAUUUUAUUUCCAUGUUGUACCUUUCCUAUCUCAUUGGGACAAUGGAUCAACUAAAUUAAAAAUGCUAAUAGAUUUGGUUUA